rnacentral:lncRNA from 1 species
UAAUAUUUACAUGACUAGAAAGAGAAAAGGUUUAUCAAGGCAAGGCCACGACAACACAUGGUGACUUAUAGAAGCCAUGGUGGGUGAGUUGAGAGAAAGGCAACAUGUUUUACUAAAGUUUCAAAUUAAUUUUUGAGUUGUCAUCAAGUUAAGAGACUUGAAUAUUUUUGAAUUUCAAAGUACGAUUCUCAAUUACUUUACAAUUAAACCAAACAAUCAUCUCACUAUAAAAUAUGUGUUAUUUCAAAUCAACGAAUUAUUUACAUGAAAA